GGGGGGGUGCUAUACUGCAGUCGAGCGGAUGUAUCCUUCCGUUUAGGUUAGCGGCGUGACGGGUGAGUAACACGUAGGCAACCUGCCUGUAAGAUCGGGAUAACUACCGGAAACGGUAGCUAACACCGGAUAGCUGGUUUCUCCGGGUGGGGGAAUCUUGAAACAUGGUGCAACCUGUGGCUUACGGAUGGGCCUGCGGCGCAUUACCUAGUUGGUGGGGUAACGGGCCACCAAGGCGACGAUGCGUAACCGACCUGAGAGGGUGAUCGGCCACGCUGGGACUGAGACACGGUCCAAACUCCUACGGAAGGCUACAGUAGGGAAUCUUCCGCAAUGGGCGCAAGCCUGACGGAGCAUCGCCGCGUGAGUGAUGAAGGUUUUCGGAUCGUAUAGCUCUGUUGCCAUCGAAGAACGCCUCGGAGAGUAUCUGCUCUGAGGGGGACUGUACUUGACAAUACAGCCCCGGAUAACUACGUGUCAGCAGCCGCGGUAAUACGUAGGGGGCAAGCGUUGUCCGGAAUUAUUGGGCGUAAAGCGCGCGCAGGCGGUCUUUUAAGUUUGGUGUUUAAGCCCGGGGCUCAACCCCGGUUCGCACUGAAUACUGCUAGACUUGAGUGCACGAGAGGAAAGCAGAAUUCCACGUGUAUCGGUGAGAUGCGUAGAGAUGUGUAGGAACAUCAAUGACGAAGGCGGCUUUCUGGACUGUUCUGACGCUGAGGCACGAUAACGUGCGAAGCAACAGGAUUAAUACCCUGAUAUAC
rnacentral:rRNA from 1 species